rnacentral:rRNA from 1 species
CUACGGGCCGCAGCAGUGAGGAAUAUUGCACAAUGGGGGGAACCCUGAUGCAGCAACGCCGCGUGGAGGAUGACGCAUUUCGGUGUGUAAACUCCUUUUAUAUGUCAAGAAAAUGACGGUAGCAUAUGAAUAAGCACCGGCUAACUCCGUGCCAGCAGCCGCGGUAAUACGGAGGGUGCAAGCGUUACUCGGAAUCACUGGGCGUAAAGGACGCGUAGGCGGGUUGGAAAGUCAGGUGUGAAAUCCUACAGCUUAACUGUAGAACUGCACUUGAAACUUUCUAAUUUGGAGUAUGGGAGGGGGAGAUGGAAUUAGUGGUGUAGGGGUAAAAUCCGUAGAUAUCACUAGGAAUACCUAAAGCGAAGGCGAUCUCCUGGAACAUUACUGACGCUAAGGCGUGAAAGCGUGGGGAGCAAACAGGAUUAGAUACCCCAGUAGUC